GAUGGAACGCAGCGAAAUGCGAUAAGUAAUGUGAAUUGCAGAAUUCAGUGAAUCAUCGAAUCUUUGAACGCACAUUGCGCCCGCCAGUAUUCUGGCGGGCAUGCCUGUUCGAGCGUCAUUUCAACCAUCAAGCCCCAGGCUUGUGUUGGGGACCUGCGGCUGCCGCAGGCCCUGAAAACCAGUGGCGGGCUCGCUGUCACACCGGGCGUAGUAGAUUUUAUCUCGCUCAGGGCGUGCUGCGGGUUCCGGCCGUUAAAAAGCCUUUUUUACCCAAGGUUGACCUCGGAUCAGGUAGGAAGACCCGCUGAACUUAAGCAUAUCAAUAAGCGGAGGA
rnacentral:misc_RNA from 1 species